CACCUCCUCUGCACCAAACCGCCCCGGCACGGCACCGCACCGCACCGCACCGCGCGUGUCCAUGGCCCGAGCGGCGGCGGCGGCUCGUCGGGCUCGCCCGCCGGACGCGGCGUGGGGAGCGAGGCGUAGCGGUGGGCGAGGAGGCGGUCUCCUGCGGAGGCCACUGCAACGCGCCCUGGUAGACUGCAACGGCGGGAGGUGCGGUCUUCUCUGCUACUGUCCGUAGUGGUCAGAUUGCGAAGUCUUUAGGGAUUUGCGUGGCUUUAGAAAGGGUAGCGCUUAGUGACUUUGAUAGGGCUUACAAGCUACUCUGCGUGACUGCAUCAUGUAAAUACUCGUAGAUCAGUGAGGGAAGGAUUUGUGUAGCAGUAGUGCUCUUAAGGUUAAUGUAGGUUCAGCUUUCCAAAAUGCACAAUUUAAUCAAUGACGCCCAAUUUGCACAAGCGUUACAAGUCAGAAAAAAUUGUGCACAAAUGUUAGCCUGGUUGAGAAAUUCUUCUGAGUAUCAUCCUGUCACCGCGAUGCCAUCACUAACAAAUUGUCGUUAGCGAAACUCCGCAUCUGGCAAACCAACCCUUUGACAUUUGUAAGAUUGGUUUCAAUGAAUUGCCCAUUACUUGUGAAGCACUUCACCGGCAGAAAGUACAUGGAAGCUUUGUGCCGCCAUCAAUCUUUCCGCAGCCAAAAUUUACAAUUCUUGGUACGUAUGGAUAUCUUCCUUUGAAAUUGCAUACCUAAAAGGGGGGCAGGAUGUUACAGUUUAGUUGACUGCUUUGUGUGACAGGAAUGUCUGGAAACCUGGUUCAAAUUAUUCAUAGCAAAAACCAUGAUAUGAUAAGAACGAUUAAUGAAUAUAUUUCGCAUCACUUUGUAUAGGUUCUGAAAAAGGAAUAUAAUCACAUUCAUCUUCAGAUUGUUUAUAACUCAUUGAGGGUUUCAGUAUCUUUACCAAGCCAUUUGAAACUUACUAUAGAGGUGGUUAUAGUGCUCUACCUUUUGCCUGAAUGUUGGAAGUUAAUGGUGGUUGAGUGCAAGAAAAGAAACAUAACUAAAACUGUACAGAUGGAGGGAUAUAGAAACAGAACAAUUGUCGCUAAUGAUGAAAACAGGCUCAUAACCUGUGAAAGAAUUACAUGGGGAACGCGGACAUCGCGCUAUAUUAUAGCUGGAAGCUUCAUGUUUAAUCCUUUUACUUAAUCCAACGUGAUGCUGUCUUGAAGAAGGAAAUUCUCAUUUGCGGAUGUAUGCUGUGGUGUGUCCCAGGUUUAGGGUGCUUUUAUGUUUUGUGCGACAGUUUUGGGGUGUAAUUGGUGUUUUUGUCCUUGGUGUCUAAAGAUGGGUCUGUUGUAACAUUUAAACUCGAAUCUUUAUCUAGUGAAGAAGCAGAGCUCCUGCCAUUUGUUUCCAAAGGAAAAGGUUAUUCGUUUGUUCUUAAAUUUUGACAGGUAGACUUGUAGGUUGAAAUUUCUUUUUAUUAGUAUAUAUCACUGGAAUGUUUUACUACCGAAUCUCUUUCACAAUGCCUUUUUUUUCCAGUGUGUUUUACUUUAAAAAAAUAUAGAUUACAGUACCAAUAUAUAUUACAGUGAAUAGUGGUCUUUCACAAUGCCAUUUUGUAGAAUGUGAGCUAUUCCAGUAACUAAUAUAGUUGUAUUUUAUGCAAAAGAAGACAAAAAGGUGCUCAUGUCACUCACCAUGAUGGAAAUUUGAAUUUUUGCAUGCUGAACUCCUAAUUGCUAUGAGGUGUCUGAUUGAUCGAUCUAUUUCCUAUGGCGUCACAUAAGCAUAUAACUUAAAUUUAUCCAGCUACUCAGCAUAGGAUUAUUCUCUUUGACGUUUUGAACAUUACAAAUUUCUUGUGCUAUACAUUUUUUACAUGGCUCAAUGAAUGCAGCAGUCAUUAUCCAAACCUCCUGGGCAUCUGCUUGAAGUAUCUGUGGUAAACCAGCAAGCAGCAGCAGCGCAUAAUUCACUGCACCAAUCAGAGAAAUGACAAUUUUUUUGGACAAAACUUUAUGGAAUUUAAUUUGAGUUGGCUGGAGUGAGAGUAAGUACAUUGAACUUGUUGAACCAGCUGAAACCUUGUUACAAUAGAUGGUUAAAUUUUCAGAAUUCUGUAUUUGAGUUGCUUCAGCAUAUGCUGUACUUGUGAAUUUCUGCAAGUAGGAAAAACUUUGGUAUAACACUCCUGCAGAAAAAGAAGAAGAUUCAGUUCGGCUGUUUAUGGAUACUAAUUUGGAGUCAUCACAUGCUAAUUACUUAGUUCCAACAUCUAUUGCUUGCCUUAAACACCAGUGACAGUUGUCAGUUAUUUUUUAAAGCUUGCAUUUGGUGGUCUAGUAAUUGAUAUGGCAACUAAAUGGCUACUCUAUCUUCAGCUUGUUGAUCACUACUUGCUGAUUAGUUGCAGACAGUUGGGUGUUCCAAGGGCAGUAAUAUGGCUUGUGUAGAAAGUGAGGUACAGACGUACAGCAACCUCCAAUUCCUAAUCGGGGACCAUUUUUUAGUGUGCAUGUUUUCCCAGACGGAUACAAUGCGUCAGCAAUGGGAUGGAAGACAGCUCUGUGCUCGUGUAUAGUUUCCUUGAAGCUAAUGCUGGUAGGAGUUUCUAGUUUAUUGACAGAUAGUUCUUCUCUUAGUUGUUGGUCCCAGCAAGAAAUGCAUGUCCUUGCUGGUUCUUUCGCUUUUAGGUGUUCGUAGGUAGGAAAAACGUGCACAGCAUCAUGGAUCAUUGACACUUGUUAGGGAGAGCAACGCUGAUGUCGUUGCCAUUUGUUAGAGAACAAUGUCAAUGCGAACAAGAAAGCAUAUAAUUUUUUGUUCAAUAA